rnacentral:rRNA from 1 species
AGCCUGAACGCUGGCGGCGUGGCUAAGACAUGCAAGUCGUACGGUGUAGCAAUACACAGUGGCGAACGGGAGAGUAAUGAAUCGCUAAUGUGCCCCGGACUCUGGGAUAGCUAGUUGAAAGAUUAGGUAAUACCAGAUGACAUAUCUUUAUCGCAUGAUAGAGAUCUCAAAGGUCCGCCGGUCUGGGAGCAGGCGAUUUCGUAUCAGCUAGUUGGUGAGGUAACGGCUCACCAAGGCGACGACGCGUAGCCGGACUGAGAGGUUGGCCGGCCUCAUUGGGACUGAGACACUGCCCAGACUCCUACGGGGGGCUGCAGUAACGAAUCUUCCGCAAUGCACGAAAGUGUGACGGAGCGACGCCGCGUGUGGGACGAAGUCCUUCGGGAUGUAAACCACUGUCAGGGGUUACCAAGUUCUGAGGAGCCCCAGGAGGAAGGGACGGCUAACUCGUGCGCCAGCAGCCGCGGU